UUGAGGAGGGUUGGGUCUCUGCGGAAGACAAAUAUGAGAUGCCUAUUCAGGGGGAUUCCAUGACCAAGUCAAUGGAUGGUGAAAUUGUUACUCGUGAGACAGGGCUAGGAGAUGAAGGUUCUCUUAGAAUUCCUCAGAAUGUGAAAAGUACAGGUUAGCAGGUGGUGGCUAUGGCCGUUCAUGGUGUUCCAGGGCAAGAAGCAGAGAGAAAGAAAGAGAGAAGGAGGCGGGGGUGGGUUUUUUAUGUUUUAUUUAUUAGUAAGGGCAUUUUGGUCAUUUCACACCCACUUAACACCUAAAGUUAACCCCGUCUAGCGUAUGGACUAUACGAGUAA